UUUGUUUUUCAAAGUGUGUCUAUUCUGUAGUAGAGAUUUUGGGUGCUCAGAAUGCAUGACUACGUUCUGCUGCAUGCUACAACAUUCAGAUGUAUUCACAGUCGUAGCUUCCAGUCUUCUUGUUCGUCAAGCCACACAAAUUGUCACAGUCAGCUUGAUUGUCUGGGAACAUUAUCAGAACAGAUGCUUUGGAGAGACAGCUAGCAGGCCUUGUGUGGAAUGUUCAGUGCAAGCUGGAGUUCCCGUGGACCCUGGACUUUUGCCUUCCUGAGUCUCUGCCUUUGACUUUCCCUUUGGGAAUAAUGCCAUAAAGGUCACUGUUUCCUGUUCCAAAUAUUCCUUUUAGUUUCUGUUUCGUGAGAACUCUGUAUAAAGCUUUUUCCCUUGACCAUUUGUCCUCCAAGGCCUGAGACUGCUUCUGAAGUGGAGAGAGUUGAAUAAACCCAAGGUUCCUUCUAGGGAACUGGUCAUUAUUACCUGCUCCUGCACUUGUCAUGGAAGAGUAGAGGGCCCUUGGAGAGGCAAUGGUACCAGGAUUUGAGAUGAAGCUUUAGUCCGCAAAUGCCCCUGGGAAGAUUAAGCCUUGCAUUGCGUUCACACUGAGGAGUGUCCGUCACCAUUUUCCCCUGGUGAGGAGUAGAUAAGGCCUUCGUGUUUAAAGAGAAGCGUCCGCAGACACAAGAAAACACUGCCAAAAAGGAAGCCUUGGCAUCUCAAAACCAAAUCUCCGGCAAAACACCAAAUUCAUGCAAUUAUUUCAUGUAAUGAAACACCUGAAACUCAACUUCCAACCCUUUGCCAAGUGGAAGAGACAAAGAGUAAGGAAAGGAGAAGAGACCAAAAGGGAGGGUAAAUAUGAGAUGAAGAAUUCCCAAAGGCUUGAGGUUGCUUUUCCUCGGUCUUUCCUUCAACUUCACCACC